CAGCCGCCACGGGAAUACGUAGGUGGCAAGCGUUGUCCGGAAUUAUUGGGCGUAAAGGGCUCGCAGGCGGUUUCUUAAGUCUGAUGUGAAAGCCCCCGGCUCAACCGGGGAGGGUCAUUGGAAACUGGGAAACUUGAGUGCAGAAGAGGAGAGUGGAAUUCCACGUGUAGCGGUGAAAUGCGUAGAGAUGUGGAGGAACACCAGUGGCGAAGGCGACUCUCUGGUCUGUAACUGACGCUGAGGAGCGAAAGCGAGGGGAGCGAACAGGAUUAGAUACCCGCGUAGUCCCUGUCUCUUAUAC
rnacentral:rRNA from 1 species